ACUUCCAUCAAGCGCGCGCGUCCGCUCCGAGUGUAAACAGCACCAGAAACAUCGAGGUUUGUAGUGUUUUCGGAUGGAUCGCACGGCUGUCCCCAGGACCCAUGGCAGUGCCACUUGUAUUGUUCGAGUCUCAACUGGAUCGGCGUCCACGUCAAGAGGUGCAUCGACGCCCAGUGUUUCUGCAUGGGGACCCUGCCGAAGGCGGACCUGGACAAUUCUCCUCAAAACCGGGACUUCAUAAUCCAGUAAUUUUGUGUGCGUGUGCGAUAUUGUUCCUAGGAGAAUAAAGCACCCCGAGGUCCGAAGGUUAGGGUCACUAAAUGAUCCUCACCGCUGCGGAGCGCGGGGACUGAGAAUUCUUGCUUGCAUCACAAGUAAAAUGAGCAGGAAACACGGAACUAGGGUUUCGUGUUUUUGGUAUACAGAUCUAGAAAAUUAACCACAGAGUCUGUUUUUAUAAAAACGGGGAAAUCCGAAAGAUCCUGAUUUCGAGCUGUCAUUGGAUAAAAGAACGUUCGAGACCGGU